GCAGGAAGCACCUUAAUUUGUACCAAUUCUGUGUCCGAAAAUAGUAUCUCGUGGUUUGCAUUCACAUCGUCUCCGGGUUUUACUGGAUGUUGUGUUUCUUUCUCUACGAGCUGCCAGGUAGCUCUUAGAACUAACUGGAACUGACUUCUUUCUUGCCAUUUGCUCCGGGAAGCCCUCUCCGGAGGACAGUCCUCCCUUCCCCGGCUUCCGGUUAGGCCGGAGCCCCGACGCGGCGCCCGCUGCUGGAGUUGACCUCGUCUUAGCCACGCUGUAUUGUGAGCUGCCUAUUUUCAGGUCACGCUGUGCCAGACUGAUGCCAACACCCAAGGCCAUGCUUCUUGGAGUUUCUCAACAAAUAUGUUUAAUGCCGGUGAAAGGAGGAAGGUGAGUGCAUACAUUUAACCUGCUUUGAAGAGGUUACUAAACCCCAGCUUCGUCAUCCUGCAUUAUCCUCAUAAAAUUGGCAUAUGAACACCUGCCCCACAGAGAUGCCCAACUACAGUCUUCUUAUAUUUUUAAGCUGUCUUUUAUCUUAUCUUUAUCAGAUAAAACACCUACUAUCAGGCCGCCUGGGUGGCUCAGCCGGUUAAGGGUUAAGCAUCUGACUUGAUUUAGGUUCAGGUCAUGAUGUCAUAGUCGUGGGAUUGAGCCCCAUGUCGGGCUCUGCAGUGACAGUGCAGAGCCUGCUUGGGAUUCUGUCUCUUCCUUUCUCUCUGGCCCUCCCCUGUUCGUGCUCUCUCUCUCUCUCUCUCUCUGCCUCCCCUCAAAAUAAAUAAAUAAACAUUAAGAAAAAAGAUAAACA
rnacentral:lncRNA from 1 species